GCAGAUGUAGUUUAGUGGUUAGAAUACGGCCUUGCCAAGGCUGUGACGGGGAUUCGAUUUCCCUCAUCUGCUCCA
rnacentral:tRNA from 1 species